rnacentral:rRNA from 1 species
UACAGAGGUCUCAAGCGUUGUUCGGAAUCACUGGGCGUAAAGGGUGCGUAGGCCGCACGGAAAGUCAGAGGUGAAAUCCCGGAGCUCAACUUCGGAAUUGCCUCCGAUACUCCCGUGCUUGAGGACUGGAGAGGAGAGUGGAAUUCCUGGUGUAGCGGUGAAAUGCGCAGAUAUCAGGAAGAACACCCGUGGCGAAGGCGGCUCUCUGGAACGGUACUGACGCUGAGACGCGAAAGCGUGGGGAGCGAACGGG